rnacentral:lncRNA from 1 species
GUUUCUGAUGGGAGGAGGGAGGCUGACGAGCUCCCGGGCGGAUGGCGAGGCGCCUUUUGGAGGAGGAAGAGGGAGAGAAAGGGUCUCCAACAGCGAACCUUUGUCCUGGGAUGCAAAUGAGCCUGGGCCAAACAGAGCGCACACAAUGCCAGCUCCGUCCUCGGCGCGAACCGAUCCGUCUGCAGCGAUUUUGUUAACCCGAUGUUUCUGGCGUUCUUUCUCUUGCACAAAAUGCUUGAUGUUGACAGCUGUGAAUUUUAAACAACCAUUCUGUCUCCAAUUACGGCAUUCGGCAUUCGGGCAGCUGACCUGUGUCGGCUGGGAUAGCGGCGGUGCAAAGGCCCGGGUGUGCUUUUAAGCAUGAAGGGACACAGAAGAGCUCUCAGACGAAGGCCUGCAUUGACGAUACCAGGAUGGCUGCAUGAUUUUCUGAUUUACUUCUUUAUACCUUUGCUUCUUUGACAUAAAGCCGUCCACAACCCAAAACGCAAGUAAAGGAACACACACUCUGAACACACACACACACACAGAAAAGUUGCAAAGAAGGAAAUCAUAAGGCUCAUCAUGUUUGCACCCCACCCCCCACCCCGAGCUUUGAAAUCUGAGCCGGAGCUUCCUGGUAGCAAGAGUGAAAGAUGGAGGAUGACUAAUGUCAAGGGCUCACUUCCCCGGAGCGAGUGUACAUUUUUUCUGAGAGAGCAACUUUCCAAAUGCCUCAUUUUUAGGAAGUUUUAUACUCGGGGCUCCACAUAAGGGGACAAUGAGUAUAGAAGUUCAAUGUCAACUUGGAGAACAAAUGCAAUUGCAGGGUUCCCAGGGCAGAAGCAAAAAAAAAAAAAAAAAAAAAGGAAAACAAAUGGGCAUUUGUUCAUUUGUUGAGUGCCCACUGCAGUUGCAGGAGUCAAGGCCAUACUGAGGGUGGGGCAGAAGAGGCUGCAGUAGCUUGCAGCCCUAUGCUGUAGCCAGAGGGUGGAUGGCUGAACCAAACUUGUGGUUCUAACCUCGCCUAAAGAAAUGCAGCACCAGUGAGAAUGAGUGGCCUUGUGGGGUGUGACUUGAUGCAGACAGGCCUCCAGGGACCCGGUGGGGUAGAUGCCAAUGAAAUGUGCCUGCAUGACAGUUUCCUUAGCUGGGGCUCCGGAGGAACUGGAAGGCUAAUGGGGGUGGCGGUGGGGUCCUAUGGGUUACUUUGAGGACAAGUGAGCAGAUGUUGGAACUGACAGCCUGACCCGGAUAAACCUAACCUAUAAUGGUACUAGAAUCAGGGCCAUGCCUCUCCACCCAGGCAGGGCCCACAUAUGCUUAUUAUUAUUUUUUAGCAAUUGUGAAAUAUUUAUUUCUGCAGGAUAGACCUUAAA